rnacentral:tRNA from 1 species
AAGGGAGACCUAAUUCGGGUAGAAGACGAAGAAAUAGUAGUCGAAACCAAGAAUCAAUCCCAAAAGGUCGGAACGAGGUAUGUGGCUUUCAAACUAGGUUCUGGGUUCACAAAAGACCUGAAUCAGGAACAAGGGCUAUUAGCUCAGGUGGUUAGAGCGCACCCCUGAUAAGGGUGAGGUCCCUGGUUCGAGUCCAGGAUGGCCCACCUGCACAGGUGGCAAAAACAAGAGAAACGAGGAAUCAGCACCUUAUCUUACUUACAUAGUAAGAGAGAAUGCUGGCUCUGAGUAAAGAGUCCAGAGGAACCUUGAAAACUGCAUGGAGCUAGGUGAAAAAGCCAAAAAAGAAGACCGCAA